rnacentral:lncRNA from 1 species
AAGAGCAAAAUGCUGUCUGUGUCUCACUCAAUGUGGUGGCUGCUACAGGAGGAUCUUCCCAGGCCUUCUCAGGGAAUUCCCAUCAGGAUCACAGGAAUGGUACCUGGCAGACACAACCCAGUCUGCACCUUCCAUGGGCCACAGCUGAUGGUACGAGGAGAGGUGUGACAUCUGCCUGACCUCAGAAAUCUAAAUCAUUCCUUUUGCAACAAAACAAUAACAGUGGAGUGCGUUCCCUGAGUUUUUGGAGAGAAAAGAAAAAUAAAGUUCAGAGGCAAAACUUGGUAGAAAUUCUGAAGCCUGGAUGACAGUGAUGACUCCGCGCAGCAGGAACGUCGCGGGCCUUGCCUGGCCACGUCCUCUUGGCUGGAGGCAUGAGUGUUUAUGCCAGGCUGAAGAAGUCACUUGAACUCAUGUCCUUUGACUGAACAUUUUUUAUGAGACCUGCAUAAAUCAUUUCUUUAAAAAUGGCAUCCUGGGCAUGGAGGCAGUCUGCUUUUUGCAAGAAUUCUUAUGGGCAAAGUCUCUUCAGAUGAGAAUGAUUCUGCUUUAAUUCCCUCUGCCUUCUGCCCUUGGGUAAGCUCACUGUGUCUCCUUAAACACUCUGGCUUUAACCAGUUUCUGCGUAUCAUUCAGACCAACAUUCCUCUCAGUUAUCAGUCAACUGAGAGACUGAGAAAUAAAGUCAAUAGAAUGAAAAGAAAAUAGUCAUAUACAGUAAGCUCGAUUUUCUUCCUACCGCUUCCUCAUAUCUUUGCCAAGUCAAACCAAACUACCUCCUUCUAGAAAUUUGUCUUAUAAAUUAUCUUCAUGACCUUCAGGAAGCUAAUAUAUUUUAAGGUGUACAAAGCACUAAAAAUACUGAUUAAAAGAUCAAUUGGACUUCAGCAGAAUUUAGAACUUCUGUUCAUCAGAUGACAACCUUAAGAAAGUGAAAAGAUAAGUGCUUUCAUUAGUUCCCACAACACAGGAGGAAGCCCUAGAAAAUCAAUCAGAAAAACACAAUCCAAUUUAAAAGCUGAGCAAUAGCCUGUGUGGGCACUUCACAAAACGGGAUAUCCCAAUGGCCAGGGAGCUAUGAGGAGGUGAUCAAGAUCAUUUGUUUUCAAGAAAAUGAAAAUUAAAUCCACAGUGAGGGAGAAUUGCACACUCACCAGGAUGCGUAAGGCUAAAGAGACUGAAAAUGCCAACUUCUGGGGAGGACUUGGUGAUGAGAACUCACCUAUUGCUCUGGGAAUAUAAAGUGGUUCCACCAUUCUGGAAAAAUUCUUCAGCAAUAUUUACUAAAUUUAAAGAUAUGCCUAUCCUAUGACCCGAAAUCCUGCUCCUAGCUCUAACUAUGGGAAAUGAGUGGCGCAGUCCACAAAAGGACAUGUGCAAGAACAUCCAUAGCAGCUUUAUGCACAGUAAAUCCAAACUGGACACAACCCAAAUGCUCAGAACAAGAGAAGAAAUAAAUACAUUUUUAUAGCCUUGCAAUGGAAAACUAUAGUGUGAUAAAACAAUAAACCACGAGUGUACCAAGAAUAUUGAUGUUUGUUUCACAACAAACAUGUGCGUGAAAGAAGCCAGACACAGAAGAGUUCCCACUGUCUGGUUCCAUUUCCACAAAGUCCAAAACAGACACAACUAACUGAUAAUGACAAAAAUCAGAAGACUGGUGAUCUCCAGACGGAGGUAUAGACUUAAAAGGGGCCAAGGGAAAAUAAGGGGAAUAUGAACCCCACUCAAAGGUUUCACACACAAAGAGGCAGAGUAGAUACAGAGUGAAUAAAUACAUUAUUUUCAUGUGCAUACAAUAGAUCAAGUAAUAAAAUUCUGAGAGCCGCACAUAUGUUAUUUAGUUCAUACAAAAACCCUGGGUUUAUUCUGAACCCACCUAUGAGAUCACAUGGAGAGACUGGCUCCACCUGUGAGAUCACAUGGAGAGACUGGCUCCACCUGUGAGAUCACAUGGAGAGACUGGCUCCACCUGUGAGAUCACAUGGAGAGACUGGCUCCACCUGUGAGAUCACAUGGAGAGACUGGAUCCUGAAACACAAGGGUGUGCUGCAUUUCUGGAUACCAUCGCAGACCUUUGCAAGCAGUUCCAUGAAACAAGAAAGGAGCAUUAGGAUCAAUGGCAUGAGAUUUAAUUAAAUUUGCAUUGGUUUUUCUACGUUGACUUUCACUUUGCAACCAAAGAACACCAUUCUCCCUGGCAUUGUGGUAAUUUAAAAGUGCCGGGGAGGUGUGGCUCACUAAGCUAAACUCAACCUCAUCAGAUAAAAUAAUUAGUUUUG